rnacentral:rRNA from 1 species
AGUGAACGCUGGCGGUAGGCCUAACACAUGCAAGUCGAACGGCAGCACAGUAAGAGCUUGCUCUUACGGGUGGCGAGUGGCGGACGGGUGAGGAAUACAUCGGAAUCUACUUUUUCGUGGGGGAUAACGUAGGGAAACUUACGCUAAUACCGCAUACGACCUACGGGUGAAAGCAGGGGAUCUUCGGACCUUGCGCAAUUGAAUGAGCCGAUGUCGGAUUAGCUAGUUGGCGGGGUAAAGGCCCACCAAGGCGACGAUCCGUAGCUGGUCUGAGAGGAUGAUCAGCCACACUGGAACUGAGACACGGUCCAGACUCCUACGGGGGGCAGCAGUGGGGAAUAUUGGACAAUGGGCGCAAGCCUGAUCCAGCCAUACCGCGUGGGUGAAGAAGGCCUUCGGGUUGUAAAGCCCUUUUGUUGGGAAAGAAAAGCAGCAGGUUAAUACCCCGCUGUUCUGACGGUACCCAAAGAAUAAGCACCGGCUAACUUCGUG